rnacentral:rRNA from 1 species
AGAGUUUGAUCAUGGCUCAGAGCGAACGCUGGCGGCAGGCUUAACACAUGCAGGUCGAACGGGCACUUCGGUGCUAGUGGCAGACGGGUGAGUAACACGUGGGAACGUACCUUUCGGUUCGGAAUAAUACAGGGAAACUUGUACUAAUACCGGAUACGCCCUUUGGGGGAAAGAUUUAUCGCCGAUUGAUCGGCCCGCGUCUGAUUAGCUAGUUGGUGAGGUAAUGGCUCACCAAGGCGACGAUCAGUAGCUGGUCUGAGAGGAUGAUCAGCCACACUGGGACUGAGACACGGCCCAGACUCCUACGGGAGGCAGCAGUGGGGAAUAUUGGACAAUGGGCGCAAGCCUGAUCCAGCCAUGCCGCGUGAGUGAUGAAGGCCUUAGGGUUGUAAAGCUCUUUUGUCCGGGAAGAUAAUGACUGUACCGGAAGAAUAAGCCCCGGCUAACUUCGUGCCAGCAGCCGCGGUAAUACGAAGGGGGCUAGCGUUGCUCGGAAUCACUGGGCGUAAAGGGCGCGUAGGCGGACUCUUAAGUCGGGGGUGAAAGCCCAGGGCUCAACCCUGGAAUUGCCUUCGAUACUGAGAGUCUUGAGUUCGGAAGAGGUUGGUGGAACUGCGAGUGUAGAGGUGAAAUUCGUAGAUAUUCGCAAGAACACCAGUGGCGAAGGCGGCCAACUGGUCCGAUACUGACGCUGAGGCGCGAAAGCGUGAGGAGCAAACAGGAUUAGAUACCCCGGUAGUCC